AUUGAACGCUGGCGGCAUGCUUUACACAUGCAAGUCGGACGGCAGCAUAGAAGAGCUUGCUCUUUUGAUGGCGAGUGGCGAACGGGUGAGUAAUGCAUCGGAACGUACCGAGUAGUGGGGGAUAACUGUCCGAAAGGAUGGCUAAUACCGCAUAUUCUCUGAGGAGGAAAGCAGGGGACCUUAGGGCCUUGCGCUAUUUGAGCGGCCGAUGUCUGAUUAGCUAGUUGGUGGGGUAAGAGCCCACCAAGGCGACGAUCAGUAGCGGGUCUGAGAGGAUGAUCCGCCACACUGGGACUGAGACACGGCCCAGACUCCUACGGGAGGCAGCAGUGGGGAAUUUUGGACAAUGGGCGCAAGCCUGAUCCAGCCAUGCCGCGUGUAUGAAGAAGGCCUUCGGGUUGUAAAGUACUUUUGUCGGGGAAGAAAAGCCUGGGGAUAACACCCUCAGGUCAUGACGGUACCUGAAGAAUAAGCACCGGCUAACUACGUGCCAGCAGCCGCGGUAAUACGUAGGGUGCGAGCGUUAAUCGGAAUUACUGGGCGUAAAGCGAGCGCAGACGGUUAUUUAAGCAAGAUGUGAAAGCCCCGGGCUCAACCUGGGAACUGCGUUUUGAACUGGGUAACUAGAGUGUGUCAGAGGGGGGUAGAAUUCCACGUGUAGCAGUGAAAUGCGUAGAGAUGCGGAGGAAUACCGAUGGCGAAGGCAGCCCCCUGGGAUAACACUGACGUUCAUGCUCGAAAGCGUGGGUAGCAAACAGG
rnacentral:rRNA from 1 species